rnacentral:rRNA from 1 species
UCUAACACAUGCAAGUCGAGGGGUAACAGGUAAAGCUUGCUUUCGCUGACGACCGGCGCACGGGUGCGUAACGCGUAUGCAAUCUACCUUACACUGGAGAAUAGCCCUUGGCAAACGAGGAUUAAUGCUCCAUGGUAUCAUUUCUUCGCAUGUUGAAAUGAUUAAAGAAUUUCGGUGUAAGAUGGGCAUGCGUCCCAUUAGCUAGUUGGUGAGGUAACGGCUCACCAAGGCGACGAUGGGUAGGGGGCCUGAGAGGGUGGUCCCCCACACUGGUACUGAGACACGGACCAGACUUCAUACGGGAGGCAUCAGUGAGGAAUAUUGGUCAAUGGAGGCAACUUUGAACCAGCCAUGCCGCGUGAAGGAUGACGGCCCUAUGGGUUGUAAACUUCUUUUGAAUAGGAAGAAACUUAUCUCCGUGUAGAUAACUGACCG